rnacentral:lncRNA from 1 species
UCCACACUGUGGAAGCUUUGUUCUUUUGCUGUUUGCAAUAAAUCUUGCUACUGCUCACUCUUUGGGUCCACGCUGCUUUUAUGAGCUGUAACACUCACCGUGAAGGUCUGCAGCUUCACUCCUGAAGCCAGCGAGCCCACGAGCCCACCGGGAGGAACGAACAACUCCAGACGUGCCGCCUUAAGAGCUGUAACACUCACCGCCAAGGUCUGCAGCUUCACUCCUGAGCCAACGAGACCACGAACCCACCAGAAGGAAGAAACUCCGAACACAUCAGAAGGAACAAACUCCAGACGCGCCACCUUAAGAGCUGUAACACUCACCGCGAGGGUCCCCGGCUUCAUUCUUGAAGUCAGUGAGACCAAGAACCCACCAAUUCCACACACAUUUUGGCGACCCAGAUGGGACUUUCGCCUAUCGCCAAGCAGUGAGACAAUCGCCGAGCGGCAAGACCAUCACCUAUUGCCAAGCAAUGGGAAACACUCAGGCAUCAACAGGCUCACCCUUGAAAUGCAUCCUAAGCCAUUGGGACCAAUUUGACCCACAAACCCUGAAAAAGAGGUGGCUCAUUUUUUCCUGCACUACGGCUUGGCCCCGAUAUUCUCUCUCUGAUGGGGAAAAAUGGCCACCUGAGGGAAGUACAGAUUAUAAUACUGUCCUGCAGCUUGACCUUUUCUGUAAGAGGGAAGGCAAAUGGAGUGAAAUACCUUAUGUCCAAGCUUUCUUUUCAUUGAGGAAUCGAGGCCAUCAAGCUACAGAUGGUCUUAC